rnacentral:rRNA from 1 species
CGCGUAGGCGGAAUAGUAAGUUAGAGGUGAAAACCAUGGGCUUAACUCAUGGCCUGCCUUUGAAACUGCUGUUCUUGAGUGCGGUAGAGGGAAGUGGAAUUCCUGGUGUAGCGGUGAAAUGCGUAGAUAUCAGGAAGAACACCGGUAGCGAAGGCGGCUUCCUGGCCCGCAACUGACGCUGAGGCGCGAAAGCGUGGGGAGCAAACA